CGUGCCUAACACAUGCAAGUCGAGCGAUUCUCUUCGGAGAAGAGCGGCGGACGGGUGAGUAACGCGUGGGUAACCUGCCCUGUACACACGGAUAACAUACCGAAAGGUAUGCUAAUACGAGAUAAUAUGUUUUUAUCGCAUGGUAAAAAUAUCAAAGCUUUUGCGGUACAGGAUGGACCCGCGUCUGAUUAGCUAGUUGGUAAGGUAACGGCUUACCAAGGCGACGAUCAGUAGCCGACCUGAGAGGGUGAUCGGCCACAUUGGAACUGAGACACGGUCCAAACUCCUACGGGAGGCAGCAGUGGGGAAUAUUGCACAAUGGGCGAAAGCCUGAUGCAGCAACGCCGCGUGAGCGAUGAAGGCCUUCGGGUCGUAAAGCUCUGUCCUCAAGGAAGAUAAUGACGGUACUUGAGGAGGAAGCCCCGGCUAACUACGUGCCAGCAGCCGCGGUAAUACGUAGGGGGCUAGCGUUAUCCGGAAUUACUGGGCGUAAAGGGUGCGUAGGCGGUCUUUCAAGUCAGGAGUGAAAGGCUACGGCUCAACCGUAGUAAGCUCUUGAAACUGUAAGACUUGAGUGCAGGAGAGGAGAGUAGAAUUCCUAGUGUAGCGGUGAAAUGCGUAGAUAUUAGGAGGAAUACCAGUUGCGAAGGCGGCUCUCUGGACUGUAACUGACGCUGAGGCACGAAAGCGUGGGGAGCAAACAGGAUUAGAUACCCUGGUAGUCCACGCCGUAAACGAUGAGUACUAGCUGUCGGAGGUUACCCCCUUCGGUGGCGCAGCUAACGCAUUAAGUACUCCGCCUGGGAAGUACGCUCGCAAGAGUGAAACUCAAAGGAAUUGACGGGGACCCGCACAAGUAGCGGAGCAUGUGGUUUAAUUCGAAGCAACGCGAAGAACCUUACCUAAGCUUGACAUCCUUUUGACCGAUGCCUAAUCGCAUCUUUCCCUUCGGGGACAGAAGUGACAGGUGGUGCAUGGUUGUCGUCAGCUCGUGUCGUGAGAUGUUGGGUUAAGUCCCGCAACGAGCGCAACCCUUGCCUUUAGUUGCCAGCAUUAAGUUGGGCACUCUAGAGGGACUGCCAGGGANUCGGGGCUAAAACGUACUACCGAAGCUACGGCAUCAUUUAUGAUGGGUAGGGGAGCUUCGUAUGCAGGCUGAAGCAUGACCGUAAGGACAUGUGGACAGUAUACGAGUGAGAAUGUUGGCAUGAGUAGCGAGACGUGGGUGAGAAUCCCACGGGCCGUAAACCCAAGGUUUCCAGGGGAAGGUUCGUCCGCCCUGGGUUAGUCGGGACCUAAGCCGAGGCCGAAAGGCGUAGGUGAUGGACAACAGGUUGAUAUUCCUGUACCACCAAUAACCGUUUGAGGAAUGGGAUGACACAGUAGGAUAAGCUAACCACACUGUUGGUUAUGUGUGGCUAAGUACUGAGGCAGUCAAGAUAGGCAAAUCCGUCUUGAUAAUGCUAGGGUACGAUGGGGAGCCCUUUUGGGCGAAGUAGCUGAUUUCACACUGUCGAGAAAAGUCUCUACCGAGGUUAAAGGUGCCCGUACCGUAAACCGACACAGGUGGGUGAGGAGAGUAUCCUAAGGCCAGCGAGAGAACUAUUGUUAAGGAACUCGGCAAAAUGACCCCGUAACUUAGGGAUAAGGGGUGCCAUCCUUUGGAUGGCCGCAGAGAAUAGGCCCAAGCGACUGUUUACCAAAAACACAGGUUUCUGCUAAGUCGCAAGACGAUGUAUAGGAGCUGACGCCUGCCCGGUGCUGGAAGGUUAAGGGGAUCUGUUAGGAGUAAUCCGAAGCAGUGAACUUAAGCCCCAGUAAACGGCGGCCGUAACUAUAACGGUCCUAAGGUAGCGAAAUUCCUUGUCGGGUAAGUUCCGACCCGCACGAAAGGCGUAACGAUUUGGGCACUGUCUCAACAAUAGACUCGGUGAAAUUGUAAUCCCGGUGAAGAUGCCGGGUACCUGCGACAGGACGGAAAGACCCCAUGGAGCUUUACUGUAGCUUGACGUUGGGUCUUGGUACUACAUGUACAGGAUAGGUGGGAGACUAUGAAGCAUGGACGCCAGUCUGUGUGGAGUCACCCUUGGGAUACCACCCUUGUAGUACUGGGAUCCUAACCAGAGGCCUUGAAUCAGGUCUUGGGACACCGUCAGGUGGGCAGUUUGACUGGGGCGGUCGCCUCCCAAAAAGUAACGGAGGCGCUCAAAGGUUUCCUCAGCACGGUCGGAAAUCGUGCGAAGAGUGUAAAGGCAAAAGGAAGCUUGAUUGCAAGACAUACAGGUCGAGCAAGGACGAAAGUCGGACUUAGUGAUCCGGUGGUUCCGCAUGGAAGGGCCAUCGCUCAACGGAUAAAAGCUACCCUGGGGAUAACAGGCUUAUCUCCCCCAAGAGUCCACAUCGACGGGGAGGUUUGGCACCUCGAUGUCGGCUCAUCACAUCCUGGGGCUGUAGUAGGUCCCAAGGGUUGGGCUGUUCGCCCAUUAAAGUGGUACGCGAGCUGGGUUCAGAACGUCGUGAGACAGUUCGGUCCCUAUCCGUCGCAGGCGUAGGAAAUUUGAGGAGACCUGUCCUUAGUACGAGAGGACCGGGAUGGACGUACCUCUGGUGUACCAGUUGUUCUGCCAAGGGCAUGGCUGGGUAGCUAUGUACGGAAUGGAUAAGCGCUGAAAGCAUCUAAGCGCGAAGCCAACUUCAAGAUAAGAUUUCCCACCGUAAGGGUAAGACCCCAGGAAGACUACCUGGUUGAUAGGUCGAAGGUGUAAGUGCAGUAAUGUAUUUAGCUUAUCGAUACUAAUAGGUCGAGGACUUGACC
rnacentral:rRNA from 1 species